UCACUAAGUUGUUUUCUGUGUUCUACCUCUUGUGGUAUAGCUGAACAGGAGUUUGUACUAAUCCUUCAGUAUUAUAACAAACUUGAACAGAAAUCUGAUUCUUGGAUAAAUUUUGAAGCAAAUUAUCAGUGGUGGUCGAUUAUAAUGUCUAACAAAACGAUUCGCCAUUUUAAACAGAUUUUGCAAGCUUCACAGUAUUAGGACAACUAGCAGAAAUAUCCGCCCUCCGAGCAGGUGUAACUGCUAGUUCCUGCGGAAGGCUAUUGGGCCAGCGGCCCAAAGUCAGGCCUACGGCCUUUUCUGGAAUUGUCUGACAGUUCUACAACAAUGUACUCAUACUUAACAUUCAACAAUGUUCAUCUUCCAUGAGAAAAAGGAUUUUAUUGAAAUUUUAGUUUAAAAAUGAGCUAUCAUCACAACAUUACAUCACAAAGUAGAUUUUAUUAAAGUAUUUCUUUGCAGACGCAAUUAUCAAUGAAACUGCCUGUUUUCUGUUGCAACACUCAGGAGAUUUUCACUAAAUAAAGACAAAUAAUUUUUUUAA